AGCAUCAUUAAGAGCAUACGGAGGAUGGCUCGACAGAACGUGCCGAUGAAGGACGUAGCAGCCUGCGAUAAGCUUCGGGGAGGUGGCAAGCAACCUUUGAUCCGGAGAUGUCCGAAUGGGGAAACCCCAUGCGGGGAAUGCCGCAUGACCUUGUACUGAAUACAUAGGUGCAAGGAGGAAACCUGGAGAAGUGAAACAUCUCAGUACCCAGAGGAAAAGAAAAAGUAUCGUUAGGUUUUAGGUUCUAGGAUCUAGGUUUUAGGUGUUAGGCAGUUUUCUAACAACCUAACCACCUAGCACCUAACCACCUAACACAUUCCCUCAGUAGCGGCGAGCGAACGGGGAACAGUCCAAACCUCCUUCAUGAAGUCAUGGCAAGCAUGAUAGGUACUUGUACCGAUUGUGUAAGCGGUGGCGAAAGAUGGAAGUCGUUGUGAGGGAUAGGUGUUGUAAGGCUCCAUGUCCGUUUCCUUCCAGGAACGGGUGGUGAAAUGAAUAUAUAGGAGAAUCUGCUGGAACGCAGAACCAAAGAAGGUGAAAGUCCUGUACACGAAAUAUUUUACAUUCAUCAUAGUGGAGAACCUUGAGUACUACGGGACUCGUGAAAUCCUGUAGGAACCAGCCGAGACUAUUUGGCAAGACUAAAUACAUGUUCUGAUCGAUAGUGAACAAGUACCGUGAGGGAAAGCUGAAAAGCACCCCGGAAGGGGAAUGAAAUAGUAUCUGAAACCGUAUGCUUACAAGGAGUCGGAGCCCGCAAGGGUGACGGCAUUCCUAUUGAAGAAUGAGCCAACGAGUGUGCUGUGCGUCGCUUGCUUAAGUCCUCCGGGACGAAGGCAUAGUGAAAGCGAGCGUUAACCCGCGUGAUCUAUUUUUAUACUCGGUCCUUCCGCUUGCGCUAGUUUGCGUAAGCCGGGUCGAGUAUAAAAUUAGAGAGUGGCGCGCACACGACCCGAAACCGGGUGACCUAUCCAUGUGCAGGGUGAAGCGGGCGUAACAACCCGUGGAGGUCCGAACCCUAGACCUGUGCAAAAGUCCGGGAUGACAUGUGGAUAGCGGAGAAAUUCCAAUCGAACUCGGUAAUAGCUGGUUCUCCCCGAGAUAGCUUUUGGGCUAGCGUCGGUUAAAACACAUUGGGGGUAGAGCACUGAAUGGGCUUAGCGGCUUUUAGCUAGCGAGCCUAACCAAACUCCGAAUACCAAUUUGUGUUCCCGGCAGUCAGACUAUGGGGGCUAAGCUCCAUCAGUCGAAAGGGCAACAGCCCAGAUCUCAAGCUAAGGUCCCUAAAUCGUCAUUAAGUGUAAAACGUGGUGAAGAGGCUUUUACAACCAGGAGGUUGGCUUAGAAGCAGCCAUCCUUUAAAGAUAGCGUAACAGCUCACUGGUCAAGCUUCCUCGCGCGGAAAAUGUACCGGGGCUAAAUGACGUACCGAAGCUGAGGGUGCACGCAACGCUAGUUGCGUGUGCGGUAGGGGAGCAUUCGUAUUGCACGGAAGCUGUGGGGUGACCCAUGGUGGAGCGAUGCGAAGAGAGAAUGUUGGCAUGAGUAGCAUAAAGACAUGUGAGAAUCAUGUCCGCCGUAAAUCCAAGGUUUCCUGGGCAACGCGAAUCGUCCCAGGGUUAGUCGGGAGCUAAGGCAAGGCCGAAAGGCGUAGUCGAUGCACAGCUGGUUCAUAUUCCAGCACUCUCUAUCACACUGAUGCAGGGACGCUUUCUGAAACUUCCCGCGCUCUAUGGCUAUAGCGUUGGGUGCUUGUAGGUGUCUGGUAGGUAAAUCCGCCAGGCAGUCGCGUAAGUGACAAACACGCAAGUAAUCGCAAGCUUGGAUGAAUAAUCCAGGCAAGGGGAAGGGACAGAGAGCCAAGAAAAGCUGCUAGGGUUAAUGUGAUAGGGACCCGUACCGUAAACCGACACAGGUGGAUGGGUGCGAAAUGCACUAAGGCGUACGAGAGAAACAUCGUUUAGGAACUAGGCAAAACAGCGUCCGUAACUUCGGGAUAAGGACUGGUUUCUCCCGGGAGGGAGAGACCCGCAGCGAAAGACGUCAACCGACUGUUUAUCAAAAACACAGGUCCCUGCUAAACCGCAAGGUGAUGUAUAGGGGCUGAUGCCUGGCCAGUGUCCGAACGUUAAGGAAGGGGGUUAUCCGGCCUUUAGGUCGGAAAAGCUCCUGACUGAAGCGCGGAUGAACGCCGGCGAUAACUAUAAUCGUCCUAAGGUUUUCCAUACUUUAGCUAAAAUUAGUUAAAUUAUGGAGAAGGACUGGGACGAUUGUAGAGGAAAAGGAAGACUGCCUCCUUUCAUAGUAAUGUGAAAGUGGUCCUAAAAUAUUGGCUAUAUGCUGGAAAGUUUGGAGUAUCGAGCGUUACGAUGCUAGAAUGUACAAGGUAACACAUUCCUUGACAUUCUAUGCCUCGUAAAAAAACGACUCGUGCAGACAACCAGCAGGAAAGACUUAUCAAGAUUGGUUGGAUAACAGGAUUUGUUGAUGGAGAAGGAUGUUUCUCGGUUGGUUUUAUAAAACAACCGAGGAAGAUUGAAGAUGGAAAGGUAGUACGAAGAGGCUAUACGACAGGUUACCAAGCAUUUCAUGAAUUUGCUGUAACCCAGGGAGAAAAGAGCAUUGAGUCGCUAAAAAUUCUUCGUGAUUAUUUUGGUGUUGGGAAUUUAUAUCUCAACAAGCGAUAUGAUAACCACAAAGAACAUAUGUAUCGUUUCGUUGUUCGAAAACGUGACGAUCUUCUCAAUGUGAUUAUUCCUUUCUUCCGUAUGUAUCAGAUGAAGACGACAAAGCAGGCAGAUUUUGAAAAAUUUGCAGACUGUGUCAAUAGAAUGAAGAACGGUGAACAUCUGAAGCAUGCCGGACUUGUCGCGAUUGCCUCCAUCGCCUCCACAAUGAAUCGUCAAAAACCACGUGAAAACUUGAUAGGAAUCCUCAGAGACCAUACGCCAACAUCCUUGUUAUAAGGAUGAAGAGAUGGUCCGGGCUGCAUGGCGACAUGCAGGUUCUGAAAAUUGUGCUAUCAGAACGCCAUGAAAAUUAUGGUAACGAUCCAAGCGAAAUUCCUUGACGGGUAAGUUCCGUCCUGCACGAAUGGCAUAACGAGUUGACGACUCUCUCAACGAUGUACUCGGCGAAAUUGCAAUGUGAGUGAAGAUGCUCACUACCCGUGGCAAGACGAAAAGACCCCGUGAAGCUUUACUACAAUUUGAUCUUGGGUUCAUGUUUCACAUGUUGAGCAUAGGUGGGAGCUUAGGCACCAGUGAGAUACCACCCUUGUGUUGUGUGAAUUCUAACCAGGCGCCGUGAAACCGGUGUCAGGGACAGGAUCUGAUGGGUAGUUUACCUGGGGCGGGUGCCUCCUAAAAAGUAACGGAGGCGUUUACAAAGGUUGGCUUAGCGCGGAUGGAAAUCGCGCUGGACGUGCAAACGCAGAAGCCAGCUUUACUGCAAGACCAACAAGUCGCGCAGUCGCGAAAGCGGAAGUUAGUGAUCCGACCGUACGAAAUAGGACGGCGGAAGCUCAUCGGAUAAAAGCUACUCCGGGGAUAACAGGCUAGUCUCCCCCAAGCGUCCACAGCGACGGGGAGGUUCGGCACCUCGAUGUCGACUCAUCGCAUCCUGGGGCUGGAGAAGGUCCCAAGGGUUAGGCUGUUCGCCUAUUAAAGCGGUACGUGAGUUGGGUUCAGAACGUCGUGAGACAGUUCGGUCUCCUAUCUGCCAUGGGCGUCGAAGAUUGAUGGAACCCAUUCCUAGUACGAGAGGACCGGAAUGGACGAACCUCUAGUGUACCGGUUGUCCUGCCAAGGGCAUCGCCGGGUAGCUACGUUCGGCUCGGAUAAGCGCUGAAAGCAUCUAAGUGCGAAGCCGUUCCAAAGAUAAGUCUUCAGUUGAGUCCCCUCAGAGAUGAUGAGGUUGAUAGGUCGCAGGUGUACGCGUCGUAAGACGUUCAGCCGAGCGGUACUAAUAGGACGAGCUCUA
rnacentral:rRNA from 1 species